ncrna:unclassified sequences narK RNA
GGCCCGGCUCUUGCUGAACUGAUUGCACCGGUAGCCAACGGCGGUUGCCCCACUUAAUCCCGACAAAGACGUCGC